CUACGGGCUGCUCCAGUGAGGAAUAUUGCACAAUGGGGGGAACCCUGAUGCAGCAACGCCGCGUGGAGGAUGACGCAUUACGGUGUGUAAACUCCUUUUAUAUGUCAAGAAAAUGACGGUAGCAUAUGAAUAAGCACCGGCUAACUCCGUGCCAGCAGCCGCGGUAAUACGGAGGGUGCAAGCGUUACUCGGAAUCACUGGGCGUAAAGGACGCGUAGGCGGGUUGGAAAGUCAGGUGUGAAAUCCUACAGCUUAACUGGAGAACUGCACUUGAAACUUCUAAUCUAGAGUAUGGGAGGGGAGAUGGAAUUAGUGGUGUAGGGGUAAAAUCCGUAGAUAUCACUAGGAAUACCUAAAGCGAAGGCGAUCUCCUGGAACAUUACUGACGCUAAGGCGUGAAAGCGUGGGGAGCAAACAGGAUUAGAUACCCGCGUAGUC
rnacentral:rRNA from 1 species